GAAAUAUUUAAACUUGCAAUACCAAGUCGUCUAGAAAUAUCUAAACUUACAAUAUAAAGACGUAUAGAAGUAUCUUAAGAAAUGGCUUCAGUUAUAUAUCCAGUAGAGAAGAACAUUCGGAAUCAGGUUGAUAACUUUAUUACGGUCUAAAACCAUGAUAAUUGCUACAUUUUGCAGUCGUAAAACCAUCAAAUUCCCUGGGACGAAACAUACCGUCUUGGAGAAAAACUCGUUUGCUGAUGGUAUACAGAACAUUCGAUUAUCAUCAAAGGGAAAUAUAUCCAUUGUUUAUCCGUAAACUCAUCAAAGGGAAAUAUAUCCAUUGUUUUAUCCGUAAACUUGUGUCAUUGGUUUGAAAAAAUACCUACAAAUCUUGGAAGUGCGUCAGAUCUUUAUCAUUAUUCAACGCUUACACUGAUUUCGUGUUGGUGGAGAUGAACUUUUUUCGCUAGGAAUCAGGUGUUGAACAAGAACUUUCGUUUCUUUUAUUUUAAGAAAAACAUAAUGUAAUUAUAAAUAGAUUUUAUUUCGGUUAAUCAUGACUAAUUCAAUAUUAAUAUCACCUUACAAUUUAUUUUUCAGGGUUAAAUUUCAGAAACCAAAAGUAAAGAUAUAUUAAAAUUAUAUUGGGAAAAUAGAUUUAAAGAUUAAAAAUGAAUCCCACUGUACUUACUUUGGGACAUAGUUAUAUUCGAAGAUUAUCUAAUUAUUGUAAAAUGAAUAGGAUGUCAACCAACUUUGGUAUUACUUAUAUUAAUGGUAUUAUGUAUGGUAAAGGUGGUACAAAAUUGUGCAAUAUGAUACAAGAUCAUGUCUUUCAAAGAUUGAUCACUAAUUUUUCUCCUACAAUAGUAGUAUUACAAAUUGGAGGUAAUGACAUAGAUAACCAUAAUUUCAAGGUUAAUACUUUUAUAGAGACUUUUAAAAAGUUUUUGAGACAUUUGAAGUCUAAAAAUGUAAAGAAGGUGGUUAUAGUUCAAUUGUUUCAUAGGUUGAAAACUAGAGUUUCAAGGUCUGUAUAUGCAGGCAGAAGAGCCCAGAUUAAUCUGGAACUUGUAAAUUUGACAAAAAGGGAGUUUAAAGGUUUUCUAGUGUAUUGGACACCAAAGAGGUUGACAUCAAAAUUUCUAUUGACAACAGAUGGUGUCCAUUUGAAUAAAACCAAAAUGAGGACUUAUUAUUAUUCCUUAAAGAGGGCUGUUAAGCUUUCUCUUAGAAAAUAAAAAUCAAUAAUGCCAUUUGUUGUCACUUAUUAUAGAUAUAUACAUUUUAAUGUGGAGUGGUUGGUGGUGGCUGAGAUAUAUUUUUUCGUAAUAAUGUGGAGUAAAUAUAUUUUUCAGCUUGUAUAAUUAUUUGUAUAUUUCAGGAGGGGAGAUGUUUUAAUCUUAAUUGAAAAUUUUGAUUUCUUGCACCCGAGACCACCAGCUUUGCAUAGCAGCGCGCGUUAACUAGCACAUGGAUUUUGCCAGAUAUGCGGACAUAUCUGUUCUGUGGGAAAGGGGGUAAUGUAACGUUUGUGGGUCACUUUAUUUGGUUCAUUUAAUUUAUUUCAUUAUUACUAUUUUUUUAAUUAUUUUUCCAGAAAGAUUGCUUUUUAUUAUUUUAUUACUUUCCGAUUUUUAUUUCAUUCAUUAAAUUUUAGUGACGUAACGAACCUCGCAUUAGCAUUAAAAAUGUUUUCCCUUCUCAACCAAUCAGAGAGCUCGAUUGAAUUCCCGGGGAAAAUUUAGCUCGUGCAGAUAUUGUCUGCUAGAAAUCAUUCUCAGCCCAGACUUCCAGGUGUAUAGAUGUAAGGUAAAAAGGGGAAUUUUCAACCAUGUGCGCGAUAUUUUUGGAAGUGGUCUCGGUAGGAAUCACGCGCUAUUUUAUAUACUAUAAUUAGUGUAUUGAAGAAAAUGUGUUUUACAGUAUUUUUAGGUAAGAAGUUCCCCCUCCUAUGAUUUUCAUGUACAUAUUUUGAGUGACUAAAACUGGCUGGUUUUUGAUCACGGUUUGCAUUGGAGAUUUAGCGGAAAACUUUGAAUAUUUACGUGUUGAGGCGUGAAUUAUUUAGAAAGCGGUUCGCUGGUUAAAUUAUGAGUUGAGUUUUUGAAAAG
rnacentral:lncRNA from 1 species